CGCCACGAUUGUUUAGUAGGUAUAAGUUACGAAUGAGUGUAAGAGAAAGAACGAAAUACAAAUUUUUGCAAGCAAGGAACACAUCCAGAACUUUCAAUAUUUUAUUGGGCAAAAUAUAUUCUCAAUCAACUGUUUUUAUGUUUCAGUAGACAAUUAAAAUACAGUUUCUGUCAGCUACGCUGUUUGGAACCUGUUUAACGAUACAUAGAACUGCGGUGAGUUUUAUUUGCGACCUACAAUAUAGCGGUAUGCAAUAUUUAACUAACAAUGUAUAUUAAUUGUUAUAUGAAGUCUAUUAGUAUCGGUGACCAUAUAGCUAAUAGCUAAUAACUGAAAUGAGAAACGAGGGUCAA